GGAGGUGUUGCCGAGUGGUUGAA
rnacentral:tRNA from 1 species